rnacentral:rRNA from 1 species
UACGAAGGGGGCUAGCGUUGUUCGGAUUUAUUGGGCGUAAAGAGCGUGUAGGCGGUUCGGUAAGUCUGUCGUGAAAUCCUGAGGCUCAACCUCGGACGUGCGAUGGAUACUGCCGGGCUAGAGGAUGGUAGAGGCGAGUGGAAUUCCCGGUGUAGCGGUGAAAUGCGCAGAUAUCGGGAGGAACACCAGUAGCGAAGGCGGCUCGCUGGGCCAUUCCUGACGCUGAGACGCGAAAGCUAGGGGAGCGAACAGG